rnacentral:rRNA from 1 species
CCUACGGGAGACAGCAGUGGGGAAUAUUGGGCAAUGGGCGCAAGCCUGACCCAGCAACGCCGCGUGAAGGAAGAAGGCUUUCGGGUUGUAAACUUCUUUUCUCAGGGACGAAGCAAGUGACGGUACCUGAGGAAUAAGCCACUGCUAACUACGUGCCAGCAGCCGCGGUAAUACGUAGGUGGCAAGCGUUAUACGGAUUUACGGGGUGAAAGGGGCGUGUAGGCGGGACUGCAAGUCAGAUGUGAAAACCAAGGUCUCAACCGCUGGCCUGCAUUUGAAACUGUAGUUCUUGAGUACUGGAGAGGCAGACGGAAUUCCUAGGGUAGCGGUGAAAUGCGUAGAUAUUAGGAGGAACACCAGUGGCGAAGGCGGUCUGCUGGACAGCAACUGACGCUGAGGCGCGAAAGCGUGGGGAGCAAACAGGAUUAGAUACCCCAGUAGUC